GCUACCAUGCAGUCGAGGGGCAUCACGAGGUAGCAAUACUUUGGUGGCGACCGGCAGACGGGUGAGUAACGCGUAUGCAACCUACCCUGUACAGGGGGAUAACCCGGAGAAAUUCGGACUAAUAUCCCAUAAUAUUAUUGGAAGGCAUCUUUUGAUAAUUAAAGUUCCGGCGGUACGGGAUGGGCAUGCGUAACAUUAGCUGGUUGGUAAGGUAACGGCUUACCAAGGCUUUGAUGUUUAGGGGUCCUGAGAGGGUGGUCCCCCACACUGGUACUGAGACACGGACCAGACUCCUACGGGAGGCAGCAGUGAGGAAUAUUGGUCAAUGGGCGCAAGCCUGAACCAGCCAUCCCGCGUGCAGGAAGACGGCCCUAUGGGUUGUAAACUGCUUUUCCGAAAGGCGAAACUCAGCGACGUGUCGUUGAUUGACGGUAUUUGGGGAAUAAGCAUCGGCUAACUCCGUGCCAGCAGCCGCGGUAAUACGGAGGAUGCGAGCGUUAUCCGGAUUCAUUGGGUUUAAAGGGUGCGUAGGCGGACUAAUAAGUCAGUGGUGAAAUCCUGCAGCUUAACUGCAGAACUGCCAUUGAUACUGUUAGUCUUGAGUUUGGUUAAGGUAGGCGGAAUGUGUAAUGUAGCGGUGAAAUGCUUAGAUAUUACACAGAACACCAAUUGCGUAGGCAGCUUACUGGACCGACACUGACGCUGAGGCACGAAAGCGUGGGGAUCGAACAGGAUUAGAUACCCUGGUAGUCCACGCCGUAAACGAUGAUUACUCGCUGUUGGCGAUACACAGUCAGCGGCUAAGCAAAAGCAAUAAGUAAUCCA
rnacentral:rRNA from 1 species